UACAAAACUACAGUAUCAGUGAUACUGUCAUUGACACAUCUACUCUAAUGUACAGCGGUUGCAAAGGUGACUGAGCUGGCGUUGUCACUUACCCUUUGAGACUCAGGUCUAUCAUGUUAUAAUUUGGGUGGUGCUGUUUUUCUGGUUAAUAAUUGCACUAGGAAGCAGUUAAAAAUCUCACCUCAGGUGUGUGUUGGCAUCAUUUGGACUGAAGCCUUUGCACUGAGGAGAGAGGAGAAGCUUUGGCUGUGCCACGCAGCUCAGAUUCCUGGUUGACCUUUCACCCACUUUCUCGCUGUCUUCGGUUCACACAUGCAAACAUAGACCCACCCAGCGUUUGUGUUGACGGACCGACAAAAGCUUUACAGUCUUUCCUCCUUCUCAGCUCCUUCUUGUACCAUCUCAUUCUUUUCUUCCUUCCAUCCUACCUUUCCCUUCAAAUUUUCCUUUGCAUGGCUCAUAAUGUAACAUAUUAAAAAUUGACAAAAAAUGCUGAGAGAAGUGCUAGAUCUCACCCUCCUUGCACAAUUAUUUGUUUACUUAUGUAUUUUACAUAAGUAAAUGUAGCUGGGUUAGAGCACUCCUAAACUUUUUUUUUAUUAUUAUCCCUCUCUUUCUUUC